rnacentral:misc_RNA from 1 species
GGGAGUUCCGCCACUGGACGUGCCAGAGUUGUUAGCAUAUUUGGUUAGACAGUCAAGCCCCUUUUUGGAUCAAAUUGGCAUAAGAAAAGAUAUCUCAGACAAGAUCGUUGAGAGUUUAUGCAGCAAACGGCGAAACAAGCUAUUACCUGAAGGAGAUUGUUCCCUGAUCGAAGGCGAUAAUAUGAUUGAUGAACUAGAACUACGAAUUGCCAGUGUACUACAAAGUACUGGUCAUCAUUAUGAAGGUGGGUUUUGGAGCAAUUCGACAAAGCAAAACGUAUCAGAUGGUAAAAGACAUGUAGCCAUAGUCACAACUGCUAGCCUUCCGUGGAUGACCGGAACAGCUGUCAAUCCUCUCUUCCGAGCGGCUUAUUUGGCCAAGUCUGAAAAGCAGAACGUUACACUCUUGGUUCCAUGGCUAUGUAAAUCGGACCAAGAACUAGUUUAUCCAAACAAUCUUACAUUUAGUUCACCAGAAGAGCAGGAACUCUACAUACGGAAUUGGCUUGAGGAAAGAGUCGGUUUCAAGACUGAUUUCAAGAUCUCGUUUUAUCCUGGAAAGUUCUCCAAGGAAAGGCGAAGUAUACUACCAGCUGGAGAUACUACUCAGUUUAUCCCAUCACGGGAUGCUGAUAUUGCAAUCUUAGAGGAGCCAGAACAUCUAAACUGGUACCACCAUGGCAAACGUUGGACUGAUAAG